GAUGAACGCUGGCGGCGUGCCUAAUACAUGCAAGUCGAGCGAACGGACGAGAAGCUUGCUUCUCUGAUGUUAGCGGCGGACGGGUGAGUAACACGUGGAUAACCUACCUAUAAGACUGGGAUAACUUCGGGAAACCGGAGCUAAUACCGGAUAAUAUUUUGAACCGCAUGGUUCAAAAGUGAAAGACGGUCUUGCUGUCACUUAUAGAUGGAUCCGCGCUGCAUUAGCUAGUUGGUAAGGUAACGGCUUACCAAGGCAACGAUGCAUAGCCGACCUGAGAGGGUGAUCGGCCACACUGGAACUGAGACACGGUCCAGACUCCUACGGGAGGCAGCAGUAGGGAAUCUUCCGCAAUGGGCGAAAGCCUGACGGAGCAACGCCGCGUGAGUGAUGAAGGUCUUCGGAUCGUAAAACUCUGUUAUUAGGGAAGAACAUAUGUGUAAGUAACUGUGCACAUCUUGACGGUAACUAAUCAGAAAGCCACGGCUAACUACGUG
rnacentral:rRNA from 1 species